UUAAUUGAAGAGUUUGAUCAUGGCUCAGAUUGAACGCUGGCGGCAGGCCUAACACAUGCAAGUCGAGCGGAAACAGGAAGGUAGCUUGCUACUUUUGCUGUCGAGCGGCGGACGGGUGAGUAAUGCCUAGAUAUCUGCCUAGUCGUGGGGGAUAACAGUUGGAAACGACUGCUAAUACGCAUACGCCCUACGGGGAAAGGAGGACCUUCGGGCCUUUCGCGAUUAGAUGAGUCUAGGUGGGAUUAGCUAGUUGGUGAGGUAAUAGCUCACCAAGGCGACGAUCCCUAGCUGUUCUGAGAGGAUGAUCAGCCACACUGGGACUGAGACACGGCCCAGACUCCUACGGGAGGCAGCAGUGGGGAAUAUUGCACAAUGGGCGAAAGCCUGAUGCAGCCAUGCCGCGUGUGUGAAGAAGGCCUCGGGUUGUAAAGCACUUUCAGCGAGGAGGAAAGGUUGUAGUUUAAUAAACUAUAGCUGUGACGUUACUCGCAGAAGAAGCACCGGCUAACUUCGUGCCAGCAGCCGCGGUAAUACGAGGGGUGCAAGCGUUAAUCGGAAUUACUGGGCGUAAAGCGUACGCAGGCGGUUUGUUAAGCAAGAUGUGAAAGCCCCGGGCUCAACCUGGGAAUUGCAUUUUGAACUGGCAAACUAGAGUCUUGUAGAGGGGGGUAGAAUUUCAGGUGUAGCGGUGAAAUGCGUAGAGAUCUGAAGGAAUACCGGUGGCGAAGGCGGCCCCCUGGACAAAGACUGACGCUCAGGUACGAAAGCGUGGGGAGCAAACAGGAUUAGAUACCCUGGUAGUCCACGCCGUAAACGAUGUCUACUGGAGUUUGGUAACUUAGUUACUGGCUCCUGCUAACGCAUUAAGUAGACCGCUCAGAGUACGGCCGCAAGGUUAAAACUCAAAUGAAUUGACGGGGGCCCGCACAAGCGGUGGAGCAUGUGGUUUAAUUCGAUGCAACGCGAAGAACCUUACCUACUCUUGACAUCCACAGAACUCGCUAGAGAUAGCUUGGUGCCUUCGGGAACUGUGAGACAGGUGCUGCAUGGCUGUCGUCAGCUCGUGUUGUGAAAUGUUGGGUUAAGUCCCGCAACGAGCGCAACCCUUAUCCUUAUUUGCCAGCACGUAAUGGUGGGAACUUUAGGAGACUGCCGGUGAUAAACCGGAGGAAGGUGGGGACGACGUCGUCAUCGGUCGCAAAGCCGCGAGGUCAAGCUAAUCCCACAAAGCCGGUCGUAGUCCGGAUCGGAGUUCGCAACUCGACUCCGUGAAGUCGGAAUCGCUAGUAAUCGUAGAUCAGAAUGCUACGGUGAAUACGUUCCCGGGCCUUGUACACACCGCCCGUCACACCAUGGGAGUGGGCUGCACCAGAAGUAGAUAGCUUAACCCUUGGGAGGGCGUUUACACGGUGUGGUUCAUGACUGGGUGAAGUCAACAAGGUAGCCCUAGGGGAACCUGCUGGAUCACCUCCUUA
rnacentral:rRNA from 17 species